rnacentral:rRNA from 1 species
UUAUUUUAGCGGCGGACGGGUGAGUAACGUGUGGGCAACCUACCUUUUACUGUGGGAAUAAUCGUUGGAAACGACGACUAAUACCGCAUACGGUUCUUGGAAGGCAUCUUCUUAAGAAAGAAAGGAGUAAUUCGGUAAAAGAUGGGCCCGCAUCUGAUUAGCUAGUUGGUGAGAUAAUAGCCCACCAAGGCAACGAUCAGUAGCCGACCUGAGAGGGUGACCGGCCACAUUGGGACUGAGACACGGCCCAAACUCCUACGGAAGGCAGCAG